rnacentral:ribozyme from 1 species
AAGAUUUUUUUUUUUUUUUUUUUUUUUUUUUUUUUUUUUUUUUUUUU